CUCUCUUUCUCCUGUUCCAGCAAUGUAAGAGGAGCUGGCUUCACCUUCACCUUCGCCAUGAUUGAAGGUUUCCUGAGGCCUCCCCAGAAGCUGAACAGAGGCCAGUAUCAUGCUUCCUGUACAGCCUGCAGAACUGUGAGCCAAUUAAACCUCUUUUCUUUAUAAAUUACCCAGACUCAGAUAUUUCCUUAUAGCAAUACAGAAACAGACUAACAUAGUCUCACUCAUAAAGAAGUAUAAGUCAAACCCAUGAUGUGAUACUACUCUACAGCAUUUUUUAAAGAUAAAGCAAUAUUAUUUAUAAGGGUUAGUAAUAUUAUAAAAUGGUACAGUUCUUAGCCAAUUGAAGUAUAUUUUAGUAAUACAUAGAGAAAAUAAUAAAAAUAUUCAGUCCCUUUGACCCAGCAGUUCCAUUUUUGGGGAAUCUUAAAAGGGUGAAGAAGUAGAAAUUACAUAUACCAAGUUGUUUCCAGCAGCAUCAUUUAUACUAGUGAAAAUAAGAAACAUCCUAAAUAUUCAACAGCAACCGACUGGUUAUAUAAUUAUGAUUAGUCCAUAAGGCAGUGGUUCCUAACCUUUUUGGCACCAGGGACUAGUUUUGUGGAAGACAAUUUUUCCAUGGAAGGGGUGGGGAGUGGCAGGGUAGGGUGUGGGGAUAGUUUGGGGAUGAAACUGUUCUACCUCAGAUCAUCAGGCAUUAGUUAGAUUCUCAUAAGGAGAACACAACCUAGAUCCCUGCAUAACAGCUCAGAAUAGGGUUCCUGCUGCUAAAAGAAUCUAAUGCUGCUGAUGAUCUGAUAGGAGGCAGAGCUCAGACAGUAAUGCUCGCUAGCCCUUGGCUUACUUCCUGCCUAACAGGCCAUGGACAGGUACCAGUCUGUGGCCCGGGGGUUGUGGACCCCUGCCAUAGAGGACACUGUGGUCUAUGUUAACUAUAAUAAUUCUACCCACCAACUACCAUCCCAGGCCAAUGAUUGGAUUGCAAAUGGUCAUGACUGAAUUCUGAACAUAAGAGGAAAAGUUUUCUGAGCAGUUUUGGGGAAAGUUAUCUCUCCCCUAAGCAAGAGACACAAGAAGAAACCACCCAUCUUCUAACUCUGAGCACUGUCCUCGAUGUGGCCCCUGGAGCUGCUGCCCUCAUCUUAUGCCACACCUGAGAAUGAAAUCAACACUGAGAAGCGCAUUUUGGAGAUAUGGGAAAGCCCGUGCUUGAUGACAACACUGACCUAUUGAAUCAGUCAACCUAGAGCCUCAGCUUCUAUGCUACCACAUCCACUGGAGUUAGAUGGGGAAGCAGGUUCCUCAUCAGAAUUGCUCAGGAACUCAGACUGACAGAACAGCCACCAUUCUGACCAUUGCCUGUCACUAUGCUAGAGGCAGCCAAACCAUGACAGGAGGUCAGCGUCGGUGGAGGCAUGGCUGACAUCUGCUCCCAGGCUCUCUGAGACAACAGUGAAUUCUGCUUAGAGAUGAAAUUGCACAUGAAGGAGAAUGUAGAGCAGAAUCCCUGAAACCUGAUGAUCCCUUUAAAGGAGUUUGGAGAACUUCAAGCACAGCCUCUCCACUAAACACCAUUCAACUGGAGGCCAAGGAGCCACAUUACUGAAUUACUCCUUGAAAAUAAUACAAUAGAAUAAAUGAACAAUAGAGAAACC
rnacentral:lncRNA from 10 species